AUUGAACGCUGGCGGCAGGCCUAACACAUGCAAGUCGAGCGGGGGUAGCAAUACCCUAGCGGCGAACGGGUGAGUAAUGCCUAGGAAUCUGCCUCGUAGUGGGGGACAACGUUUCGAAAGGAACGCUAAUACCGCAUACGUCCUACGGGAGAAAGUGGGGGAUCUUCGGACCUCACGCUAUGAGAUGAGCCUAGGUACGAUUAGUUAGUUGGUGGGGUAAGGGCUCACCAAGGCGACGAUCGUUAACUGGUCUGAGAGGAUGAUCAGUCACACUGGAACUGAGACACGAUCCAGACUCCUACGGGAGGCAGCAGUGGGGAAUAUUGGACAAUGGGGGAAACCCUGAUCCAGCCAUGCCGCGUGUGUGAAGAAGGCCUUCGGGUUGUAAAGCACUUUAAGCAGGGAGGAAGGUUUGCUGGUUAAUACCUGGCAAAAUUGACGUUACCUGCAGAAUAAGCACCGGCUAACUCUGUGCCAGCAGCCGCAGUAAGAC
rnacentral:rRNA from 1 species